CUUCCAGGCACCGCUUGCGUUUCGCUGCGCUGUGCGGAACAGAACUGGCCAGGAGCACAAGUUUCUCUUCCUUCUCCACAGCACUAUGCCCCCUCCCCCCACCUCUCUCUGGGGUUUUUACUCCCUGCGGGUUUUGCAGGCAGCCCUGGAAAGGAACCUGGAAGCCAAGAGAUAAAAAUCAGAGACUAAUAAUACAGGGAAGCCCUGUGGACCAACUUCCCAGUUAUGUCCGUCAGGAAAGACUUGGUUGUGCUGUCCUAACAAACAUCCCCAAAUCUCAAUGGCUGAGAGCAACAAAGGCUCAUUUCUUACCCACCCACCUGUCCUCCACGGGCCGCCUGGAGACAUCCCGUCUGCUCAGGGACUGGGGAAGAGAGAAGCUUUGACUCUGCGCGGCCACAUUGGCCAAAACUUUUGUGCACGGGUUCAUGAGGCCAGAAACAGAAGUCACCUCCACUCCAGUUCGCCGGCCAAAACUAGAUGCCCGGGAGUAGAACUUCUGGACAUGACCACCUACGACUUUACUAGUUCUUGCCAAAUUGGUCUCCAAAGUACUUGUACCAACUUACAAUCCCACUAGGAGGGAGUGAGUUUCCGCGACUUCACAGUUCUGCCAACACUUGGCAUUGGCUGACAUCCAUUUUUGCUGAUCUGUUCUUAUGUGAGUUAUCCUGAAGCAUCUGCUAAGAGAAGCUUGCAUGGCCAGCGCCUUGCCUGCACGGACCCAGCUGCAUGAAGAUGGCAGAGAGGAUCUGCGGGCCACAGCACUUCAAGCCUAGAGCCAGGAGGGACAGGAAGCCCUCUGACACCUGUUUCUCUAAGCGUGGUCCUGGACCAGCAGCGUGGACCUCAUCUGCUUGUCCCUAGAGCUACUGAUCUCAAUCUGCAUCAUAACAAGAUUCCUGGGUGAUGGACAAACACACAGAACGUUUAAGAAACACGGCCUUGGGGUGCCUGGGUGGCUCAGUCGGUUAACCAUCUGCCUUCAGCUCAGGUCAUGAUCCCAGGGUCCUGGGAUCAAGUCCCUGCAUCUGGCUUCUUGCUCAGCAUGGAGUCUGC